UAGGUUUCUGCUAAGUCGCAAGACGAUGUAUAGGAGCUGACGCCUGCCCGGUGCUGGAAGGUUAAGGGGAUCUGUUAGAGCAAUCGAAGCAGUGAACUUAAGCCCCAGUAAACGGCGGCCGUAACUAUAACGGUCCUAAGGUAGCGAAAUUCCUUGUCGGGUAAGUUCCGACCCGCACGAAAGGCGUAACGAUUUGGGCACUGUCUCAACAACAGACUCGGUGAAAUUGUAAUUCCGGUGAAGAUGCCGGAUACCUGCGACAGGACGGAAAGACCCCAUGGAGCUUUACUGUAGCUUGACAUUGGGUCUUGGUACUACAUGUACAGGAUAGGUGGGAGGCUUUGAAACCAGGACGCCAGUUUUGGCGGAGCCAUCCUUGGGAUACCACCCUUGUAGUACUGGGACUCUAACCAUAGGCCAUGAAUCUGGUCUUGGGACACUGUCAGGUGGGCAGUUUGACUGGGGCGGUCGCCUCCCAAAAGGUAACGGAGGCGCUCAAAGGUUCUCUCAGUACGGUCGGAAAUCGUACGUAGAGUGUAAAGGCAAAAGAGAGCUUGAUUGCAAGACAUACAGGUCGAGCAAGGAUGAAAAUCGGACUUAGUGAUCCGGUGGUUCUGCGUGGAAGGGCCAUCGCUCAACGGAUAAAAGCUACCCUGGGGAUAACAGGCUUAUCUCCCCCAAGAGUCCACAUCGACGGGGAGGUUUGGCACCUCGAUGUCGGCUCAUCACAUCCUGGGGCUGUAGUAGGUCCCAAGGGUUGGGCUGUUCGCCCAUUAAAGUGGUACGCGAGCUGGGUUCAGAACGUCGUGAGACAGUUCGGUCCCUAUCCGUCGCAGGCGUAGGAAAUUUGAGAAGACCUGUCCUUAGUACGAGAGGACCGGGAUGGACGUACCUCUGGUGUACCAGUUGUCCUGCCAAGGGCAUGGCUGGGUAGCUAUGUACGGAAUGGAUAAGCGCUGAAAGCAUCUAAGCGCGAAGCCAACUUCAAGAUAAGAUUUCCCACCGCAAGGGUAAGACCCCAGAAAGACUAUCUGGUUGAUAGGUCGAAGGUGUAAGUGCAGCAAUGUAUUUAGCUUAUCGAUACUAAUAG
rnacentral:rRNA from 1 species